ensembl:lncRNA
GGGUAGCACAGAGUCAGACACGACUGAAGCCCCUUAGCAUGCAUGCAUGCAUUGGAGAAGGAAAUGGCAACCCACUCCAGUCUUCUUGCCUGGAGAAUCCCAGGGACAGAGGAGCCUAGUGGGCUGCCAUCUAUGAGGUCGCACAGAGUCGGACACAACUGAAGUGACUUAGCAGCAGCAGCAGCACAUCCUUCUAAGUUCUCUUAUAACAGGUUAAAAAUACAGACUCUCCUUUGAGAAAAAGGUCUGCUCCCUGAUUUUCCCAAAGGAACGACUCUUAACUUCCUUUACAUGUGAAUAGGUGAAUCUGAUUUCACUUUGAACUGCAGACAUAGCCAAUCAAAACAUUGUAAACCUCUGGCUUCAGUGAUAGAUUCUGGACAUCUGAACCAUAUGUUGAUAUCUAGGCCAGUGUUCUUGCCUGGAGAAUCCCAUGGACGGAGAAGCCUGGUAGGCUGCAGUCCAUGGGGUCGCACAGAGUUGGACACGACUGAAGCGACUUGGCAGCAGCAGCAGCAGCAGGCCAGUUGAAUCAAAAGAAACAGAACAGUUCUGGAGCUGGGGGAUCUUCUCCUGACCCAGGGAUCAAACCUGGGUCUCCUGCAUUGCAAACAGUUUCUUUACCAUCUGAGUCACCAGGGAAGCCAUACAACUUGUAGACCUCAUUUUAUUGCUCUCCACUUCAUCUCCUUUCCCUACUGUGGACCGAUGGCUGAAUUGUGGACAUGAUGAUAAGAGCCAGUGUUGACCAUGAGCCAUGAAGAUGAGGCCAACACUCUAGAGGAGGCAGAACAGCAAGGCAGAAGUAACCUGGAUCCCUAAGUGACCACCUGGAUUGGAGCCACCCACCUACCUGGGAC